rnacentral:rRNA from 1 species
AUACGUAGGUGGCAAGCGUUGUCCGGAUUUACUGGGUGUAAAGGGCGAGUAGGCGGGACUGCAAGUCAGGUGUGAAAUGCGGAGGCUCAACCUCUGACUUGCAUUUGAAACUGUGGUUCUUGAGUGAUGGAGAGGCAGGCGGAAUUCCCGGUGUAGCGGUGGAAUGCGUAGAUAUCGGGAGGAACACCAGUGGCGAAGGCGGCCUGCUGGACAUUAACUGCGCUGAGGAGCGAAAGCGUGGGGAGC